rnacentral:rRNA from 1 species
UACGUAGGGACCAAGCGUUGUUCGGAUUUACUGGGCGUAAAGGGCGCGUAGGCGGCAAUUCAAGUCAGCUGUGAAAUCUCCGAGCUUAACUCGGAACGGUCAGCUGAUACUGUUUUGCUAGAGUGCAGAAAGGGCAACCGGAAUUCUUGGUGUAGCGGUGAAAUGCGUAGAUAUCAGGAGGAACACCGGUGGCGAAGGCGGGUCUCUGGGCCGUAACUGACGCUGAGGAGCGAAAGCCAGGGGAGCGAACGGG